rnacentral:lncRNA from 1 species
GUCCGAGGAGACAAAGAAGUACCUAUUCUUCCAACUAUGUACUAAUAAUAGAAGAUUGGCAACGAUCUUACACUUCGAUCAUGGAGAAAAAUACUAUCAGUCUUUAAAAUAUGGAUAUUUUUUUUAAGAAAAAAAGAUACCUAAAAACGAGCAUCAUGGAGAAACCUUGAUGAUGUCGCGAUCAGAAUGAAGGCUGUAAAGGAUCUAAUCCCAUUCGGAGCUAUUUAGGUGGGAAGAA